UACAGAGGUCUCAAGCGUUGUUCGGAUUCAUUGGGCGUAAAGGGUGCGUAGGUGGCGCCAUAAGUCAGGUGUGAAAUCUCGGGGCUCAACCCCGAAACUGCACUUGAUACUGUGGUGCUCGAGUACUGGAGAGGAGAUUGGAAUUUACGGUGUAGCAGUGAAAUGCGUAGAUAUCGUAAGGAAGAUCAGUGGCGAAGGCGAAUCUCUGGACAGUUACUGACACUGAGGCACGAAGGCCAGGGGAGCAAACGGG
rnacentral:rRNA from 1 species